UGUUUUUCUGGCUGAUUAGGGAGCCAGCUCACAUAGCGUCCGCGGUUCUACAUUUAGAAUUGUGUCUUCAUUCACAUUCUUUCCACGCAGCUCACGGCUCCUGGACUGGAAGAGAGUGGUUACUUUUGCCUGGGCCCGUCCCCUGGGAAGACGCCAGCUCACCUCGAGCUCCUGGUCCAGAGUUUGGGCCAAGUUCUCUGGCUGUGCUCUGGGCUGGGGUGGUCCACACCAGUGUGCCCACCAUGACCCGAACCAGAUGUGGAAUCCAUGGCCCAGGGCAGGCAGCCACUUGAAGCAAACACCGCCAGGUCCCGCCACACUGCAAACCUCACCGCUUCUAAGACUCCAAACCAGACAUGCGGUCAUGCUGUCCACCUGGGAAGAAUUAAAAAUGGGGCAAUGAUAACAGUGAAUGCAAGCAUGAGAAGAAGUUUUAAAACUACAGACCCUAAAACCCAGCGAGGCAGGCACCUGCAGUCCCCACUGCCAUAACAGUCACCUGAAGUCAACCACGGUCUGGAAGCAUGUAUGGUCCUUCUUUCUGACAUACAGUCAGAAGGUCAGUAAUAGCCUAACCCUACUUCACGGUGCCCACGUCAUUCACUCCCGCCAUCUCCUCACAUAGACAUUUUAUCAUCUCACAUCAUCACGAGAAAGGUAAGUACAGUACAGUCAGAUUUUGAGAGAGAGAGACCACAUUCACAUAACUUCUAUUAUAGUAUAUUGUGAUAAUUGUUCUAUUUACUAUUGUAUACUAUCGUAUUGUUGUUAAUCUCUUCCUGCAUCUGAUUUAUAAAGUAAGCUUUAUCAUAGGUUAAACAUAGUGUGGACAGGGUUCGAUACUACCACCCACAGUUUUCAGCCAUCCACUGGGGGUCUUGGAAUGUAUCCCUCAUGGAUAAGGGGAAACUACUGUAUUUUCUGAAUACUCCAAAUAUCAGUGGACAUCUUUUAUUAGUGUGUGGAAUUACGACACAACCCAAAAUCAAUUAGAGUUCUUUGGCCAUGCACAACAGAAACAGAAACUGGGCAAAUUCAGCUGAAAUAGAUGAGUAUUAAAAGGAAAAUGGAGCCCUUGCAGACUCCAGGUGAAUGGUGAAGUCCCAGCCUGGGCAAGAGUGAGCAGACAGCUCUGCCACUGGAAAGAACGUUCGAGCACAUUUCCAUCCUGGCAUCACUUUAGAAGAAACAGUACAAAGGGCCUGGCCUGGGUCUCACGUCUGCUCUGGACCCGGGGAGAUCUCGGCAGGCACCUUGAACUUUCAACCCCACCAAGACUAACCACAGCGGAGACAGGAAAUUGCCCCAAAGUUAUCAAGUGCUUUUACUCAGAGGAGAUGGAUGGAAGCUGAGCGUUCAAAAAAUAACAAAUAUCUGCUAAUGGGGGUGGUAUUUAAUUGGCUGGGAGUUGCUUACUUUAAGACUCUAAAUUUAAAUCUCUACUGUCCUAUUUUCACGUAAAUGUGGAAGUAUGGAAACCCCAGUAUUACCAUUACGGAGCACAGCCAUUGCCAAGACCAAGACCCCAGUAUUCAGGAUGCCGGAAGCCUCCCUGACUGUAUUGGCAGGACCUCAAGAUCCAGAAAACUUGACCCACCUUGGUCGAAGCCACUAAAGUCCCCCGCCCCACCCCAAUCACACAAAUCCAGAGCAGGUAGUUCUGGCACAGACUCACCACUCAGCCAUGUCAUUGAUGACCCAGGACUGUCCUGCCCACCAGGUUGUCCUCAGCAUAUUGGUCUUUAAUUGUCAUUGCUCGUUCCUCAAGAUUGCAGACUGAAGGCCUUGGUGUUGUGAGCUGAGUUGUAUUCCCCAAAUUUUCACAUGUUGAAGUCCUAACCCCCAGGACCUCAGAAUGAGAUCUUACUUGGAAAUAGGGUCAUGACAGCUGUAAUUAGUUAAGAUGAGAUCAUUAGGGUGGGCUCUAAUCCUAAAGGAUUGAUGCUUUUAUAAAAAGGGGAAGUUUGGACAGAGAGAAACACAGGAAAGACAGUGAGAAGACACAGAAGAUGGGCAUCUACAAACCAAGAAGAACGGCUUGGAACAGACCCUUUCCUUGCAGCCUGCAAAAGGACUUAACCCGACUGACACCUCGAUCUGGGACUUCCAGCCUCUAGCACCAGGAGAUACUUUCUGUUGUGUAAGCCAGCACUUUGUGGUACUCGUUGUGUCAGCUCUAGCAAACAAACACACUCCAUUCCAGGAUUUGUGUCCCCGAGCGAAGCAGGAAGAGAGGGCGUCAACAGGAUGGAGACCACAGGGAUUGUUCCUUUGAUCAGAAAGGCCAGAACUUUCCCUGACAUCCAAAUGCUCCCACCCCUGUGACCAGAGGCGUGCCGCCUAGAAGGGGAAGCCUGUGAGGAAGGGAGUGAGGCUGGACAGCCAGCAGGGCCCGAGGGCUGAGGCAGAUGUCCUCUGCCCCCUAAAAGGCCUGUAAUAUGCUUUCUGGGAGAAGCAGCCCUGAUUUUCAAGGCAGGGCUGAGGAGCACGUCAUUAGAGGCUUUUGCAGAGUGCAUUGGGGAUUUGCUAAAAUUUGUGGUCCUUCCUCUCUCCAGCACAGCCCGCUCAGUUCUCCCAUUCAUAAAACCAGGUCUGCCUGCCAAUGAGUCAACAGUGGAAACCCACCGGAGGGCUGUGGUCGAGACACAGGAAACAAAAAGCCCCAAAGAAGGCUGGCCUCCAGGACUGAAACACAAUGCUGCUGGCCCAGCAGCCUCAGGCCUGGGCAUGACACCUCGUGCACUGUCCCCCAUGUGGGGCCAGGACAGGACAGGGACACAAGGUGUGCAGGCCCUACCUCCCUGAUGGAAGCAUCUUCAUGUUCCGUCCCCUAAAGCCCUGGCAGUGUUAUCCCUCCGACCAGCCAGCCAAGGAGGGAAGAAUUCAGCCUUGCCAGCUUCUACUGCCGAUGGGAAGGAAGCCACUGUGUGACAGUGUCAUCUGUCAGCUGACGACUCAGAGCACCCUGCCAGAUGUUCACCAUCCCAAAUGCCCAGCACUUGGGCCCAUGCUAGGGUCUACACUUGCUACUUUAGCUGACUUGUCAUGUGCUCCUUGACUUUUCUCCUGCCUGGGCCAGGCGUGUUCCAGGCAGCGUAAGUAUGUACCUCGGGAGAAGUGGCCAGGGUCCCCAGCAGAAGCAGCAUCUCAGACAGGACCCAGAAGGAAAUGCAAGGUACAGCCCCACACCCAUUAGGAUGGCUACUACAAAAAAAAGAGAGAGAGAGAGAGAGAGAGAGAGAGACAGAAACUAACAAGUGCUGGCAAGGAUGUGAUGACACAGGAAUACUAUUCAGCCUUAAAAAGGCGGGGAAACAGGAUGGAAAUGGAUGAUCCUUGAGGACAUUCUGCUAAGUGAAUCAGCCAGCCAUAAAAAACAAAAUACGGUGUGAUUCCACUCGUAUAAGGUGCCUAGAGUAAUCGAAUUCAUAGAAACAGAAAAUAGUGGCUUCCAGGGCUGAGGUCGGCAGUAGAGGGGAGUGGGGAGUGGAGUUGGCAUUUAACAGGUACAGAGUUUCAGUCUGGGAUGUUGUAAAAAGUUCUGGAGAGGAAUGGUGGUUGCACCAGUAUGAAUGUACUUAAUACUACUGUGCACUUAGAGUGCUUACGUUGGUAAAUUUUAUGUCCUGUAUAUUUCACCACAAUUUUUUUUUAAAAAAAGA